rnacentral:lncRNA from 1 species
UAUACAAAUCCCCACCUCCUCCACCUUACAUCUACAAGUCUCCACAGCCACCGACACCAGUUUACGUAUACAAAUCCCCACCUCCUCCACCUUACGUUUAUAAGUCUCCACCACCACCAACACCCGUUUACGUAUACAAAUCCCCACCUCCUCCACCUUACGUUUAUAAGUCUCCACCACCACCAACACCAGUUUACGUAUACAAAUCCCCACCUCCUCCUCCUUACGUCUACAAGUCCCCACCGCCGCCACCAUACGUCUACUCAUCACCUCCACCACCAGUAAAGUCACCACCACCACCGUACGUGUAUUCAUCACCUCCACCACCCGUGAAGUCACCGCCACCACCGUAUGUGUACUCAUCACCUCCACCACCUGUAAAGUCACCGCCACCACCAUAUGUGUACUCAUCACCUCCACCACCUGUGAAGUCACCUCCACCACCAUACGUCUACUCAUCACCUCCACCACCCGUAAAAUUACCGCCACCACCAUACGUGUACUCAUCACCUCCACCACCCGUGAAGUCACCACCAGCACCGUAUGUGUACUCAUCACCUCCACCACGGGUGAAGC